rnacentral:lncRNA from 1 species
GCAACUCCUAAAGUGUUAAUCCUGAUAAUCAUAUGAUAAGAGUGAAAUUAUGGUUCUUGUAUAUUUUCAAGCUUACUGAAUUUGUAAUUCCUGAAAAUAAUCAUUUCGAAUGUGCUAAUGGUUCUUGGGAGCUUUCUUCAGUCCACUCAUGGAAGGGGAAAGGGUUUGAAUUAGCUGCCGACUCAUUCAUUCAAACACAGUAGAAGAAUACGGCUUUGUACUACUGUGAAUGUGUGAAUGAUUCGGGAGACAAAUUUCGUCCUAUUCGUCUCUAUGAUUGGACUGAAGGGAGCUCCCGUUUACUAAUUUCUUCAUUCUCUUUGGUAAUUAAUUCCCCGUCAUUUAUUCUUCCAUUUGCUCUUCUUUCAUUGACCACGAGCAUUUUAGGUUCUUUCAUCAAUUAUAGUUGUUAGUUUAAUUGCUGGGUAUCAUUCACAGGUUCUCUUAACAGUUAUAAUGUUAUGGUCUAUUUUUGUUAUAUGUACCUUGCAUAAUUUUCAUUGUUUCUUAAAGGGGAUCAGUUUCUGAAUGUUUUUAUUUUGGAUCGAAGGCAUUAUGAAUUUAACUAGUAAGUUUUCCUAAUUGUUUUCCCCAUUAAUUCCUCGGCCUGUCUUCUAUUUGUUCUUUUCUAAACUAGUAGUGAUCAGUGCAGGCCUUAUUCUAUGAAAGGAAUAAAAUGGAAUAGGAGGGACAUUAACGACUGAUCUCCUCCACACGACAACAUAGAAUCACUAGUUUAUCUGAAGUUCAUCUUUUUCUCUAUAAAGAAAAAGUUCGUAUUUUUCUCUUGCCUCUGCAAGAAAUCAAUCAUAUAUGAAUCUUUAUGUGUAAUACAUUUACUUUCUAUUUCUUUCUGCAAUCUCA